rnacentral:rRNA from 1 species
AUUGAACGCUGGCGGCAUGCUUUACACAUGCAAGUCGAACGAGUGGCGGACGGGUGAGUAAUAUAUUGGAACGUGCCGAGUAGUGGGGGAUAACCAAUCGAAAGGUUGGCUAAUACCGCAUACUAUCCGAUCGGCCCAUAUCUGAUUAGCUAGUUGGUGGGGUAAAGGCCUACCAAGGCGACGAUCCGUAGCGGGUCUGAGAGGAUGAUCAGCCACACUGGAACUGAGACACGGCCCAGACUCCUACGGGAGGCAGCAGUGGGGAAUUUUGGACAAUGGGCGCAAGCCUGAUGCAGCCAUGCCGCGUGUAUGAAGAAGGCCUUCGGGUUGUAAAGGACUUUUGGUAGGGAAGCGGUACCUAAAGAAUAAGCACCGGCUAACUACGUGCCAGCAGCCGCGGUAAUUC